UUUAAUGAGAGUUUGAUCCUGGCUCAGGACGAACGCUGGCGGCGUGCCUAAUACAUGCAAGUAGAACGCUGAGGUUUGGUGUUUACACUAGACUGAUGAGUUGCGAACGGGUGAGUAACGCGUAGGUAACCUGCCUCAUAGCGGGGGAUAACUAUUGGAAACGAUAGCUAAUACCGCAUAAGAGUAAUUAACACAUGUUAGUUAUUUAAAAGGAGCAAUUGCUUCACUGUGAGAUGGACCUGCGUUGUAUUAGCUAGUUGGUGAGGUAAAGGCUCACCAAGGCGACGAUACAUAGCCGACCUGAG
rnacentral:rRNA from 2 species